GUAAUACUGACUGACUUAAGGAGAGACUUGAGCCUGUGUGCCCACAGCUGUGACUGCCAAGUGAAUGGGAAGCACUAAGAAUUGCCUCCUCGGGAUCUCUAGUAGUAUACAUAACAUGCUCCAGAGGGCAUGGAUUUGUCAGACUUUUUUUUUAAAUAGGGUUUUUAAGAACAGUUUUAGAUUUAGAGUAAUUGAGAAGAUAGUACAUGGAGAUCCCACAUACCACAUGUGUGGCUUCCCCUCUUAUUAACAUCUUACCUUAGUGUGCUACAUAUGUUAUAUAUAUAUAUAUUUUUUUUGAGACAGAGUCUCGCUGCGACGCCCAGGCUAGAGUGCAAUGGUGCAAUCUUGGCUCACUGCAACCUCUGCUUCCCAGUUUCAAGCGAUUCUUCUGCCUCAGCCUCUCGAGUAGCUGGGACUACAGGUACGUGCCAUCAUGCCCAGCUAAUUUUUGAGUGAAAGCCAGUGCACCUGGCCCAUUUGUUAUGAUUAAUGAACCAAUAUUGAGACACAAGUAACUGAAGUCCACACUUUGACAGUUUCCUUAGGUUUGCCUCAUGUCCCUAAUGUGGUAUCCAUCAGAACACCCCAUUACAUUGAGUUAUGUGUCUUUAGGCUCCUUCUCAGACUUUCCUCGUUUUUGAUGACCUUGACAGUUUCGAAGAGUACUGGGCAGAUAUUUUGAAGAAUGUCCCUCAAUUAAAAUGUGUCUAUUAUCUCCUGGUUAGACUGGGACUGCAGGUUACAGAAAGGAAGCAUCUAGGGGUGAAGUGCCACUGUCACCCCAUCACAUCAGGGACACACACUGUCACCUCGACUAUAACUGUGAGGCUGACCUGCGUCACUUGGCUGAGGUGGAGUCUGCCAGUUUUCUCCACAAUAAAUUGAGGCUGCAAUGAGCGGUGGUCUCACCACUGCACUCUAGCCUGUGUGACAGACUGAGACCCUGCCUAUAAAAAAGAAAAGAAAAAAGAACUGAAAUAAGACCCAAGUCCAACAUUAGCAGAACCUCUCUAGGAUGUCCACAGAAACGACUCUGGGGUUCUGAGGAACACAGUCUAGGCAAACCUGGGCACAUCCCCUCAGUCCCACAGUUGUAAAUGUAUUGUAACACGUAACAGUUGUGAGAUUCAGGCGCGGUCUGGGUCUCUGUUCCUGGAAAGUGUGAUCCUGUGGGUGCAGCCCCUGCUCGCUUGGCUGUGUUGCCUGCCUGGCCCCUGCUCUAAUGAGCCCACUGCCCAGAGUUUGCUCAAACCACCCAAUUCCGAGUCUGGGAACCAGGAGACCGCUGGACACCCCGCUCACCACACAGAAGACUGUGGCCUGAGUCAGGAGAAGGAAG
rnacentral:lncRNA from 10 species